UACGUAGGGGGCAAGCGUUGUCCGGAUUUAUUGGGCGUAAAGAGCGUGUAGGCGGCCAUGUAGGUCCGUUGUGAAAACUCGAGGCUCAACCUCGAGACGCCGAUGGAAACCAUAUGGCUAGAGUCCGGAAGAGGAGAGUGGAAUUCCUGGUGUAGCGGUGAAAUGCGCAGAUAUCAGGAAGAACACCCGUGGCUAAGGCGGCUCUCUAGUACGGUACUGACGCUGAGACGUGAAAGCGUGAGGAGCGAACAGG
rnacentral:rRNA from 1 species